UUGUAAUUUGCAGAGGAUGUUAUGGAUCAUAUUUGGAUUGAAGUCCUUUGGAAAAAGGUGCCCAGGAAGGUGACAGCCCUGUACCCUCUAAUAUAUUUUCCAAUGUAUAACUCCUUCAAAGAGUCGAGUUGUUUGGGAAUGCAGCUCUAAAUGGGAGGUAAAUUUCUUCCAAAGCUAAAUAUCGGCUAGAGACCGAUAGCGCACAAGUAGAGUGAUCGAAAGAUGAAAAGCACUUUGAAAAGAGAGUUAAAAAGCACGUGAAAUUGUUGAAAGGGAAGCUUAUGUCAUUAGAAAUGAUGUUAAUGUUCAGCCUUUUGGUGUAUUCAUUGACGUCAGGCUAGCAUCAAUUCGGAUAGUUGGAUAAAGGUUUCGAGAAUGUAACUCUUCGGAGUGUUAUAGCUCGAUUCAGCAUGCAACUAAUCCAGAUUGAGGUCCGCUUUUAGGAUGC
rnacentral:rRNA from 1 species